UACGUAGGCAGCAAGCGUUGUUCGGAGUUACUGGGCGUAAAGGGUGUGUAGGCGGUUCCUUAAGUUUGCUGUGGAAUCUCCCGGCUUAACCGGGAGGGUGCGGUGAAUACUGAGGGACUAGAGUACGGGAGAGGAAAGUGGAAUUCCUGGUGUAGCGGUGAAAUGCGUAGAUAUCAGGAGGAACACCGGUGGUGUAGACGGCUUUCUGGACCGUAACUGACGCUGAGACACGAAAGCGUGGGGAGCAAACAGG
rnacentral:rRNA from 1 species